rnacentral:rRNA from 1 species
CGCUGGCGGCGUGCUUAACACAUGCAAGUCGAACGGACUUCUUGACGGAACUCUUCGGAGGGAAGACAUUAAGUUAGUGGCGGACGGGUGAGUAACGCGUGGGUAACCUGCCCUUUACAUGGGGACAACAGUUGGAAACGACUGCUAAUACCGAGUGUGUUCAUUGGAAGGCAUCUUCCGAUGAAGAAAGGUGGCCUCUGAACAUGCUACCGGUAAAGGAUGGACCCGCGUCUGAUUAGAUAGUUGGUGAGGUAACGGCUCACCAAGUCGACGAUCAGUAGCCGGCCUGAGAGGGUGGCCGGCCACAUUGGGACUGAGACACGGCCCAAACUCCUACGGGAGGCAGCAGUGGGGAAUCUUCCGCAAUGGGCGAAAGCCUGACGGAGCAACGCCGCGUGAGUGAAGAAGGCCUUCGGGUCGUAAAGCUCUGUCUUUAGGGAAGAACAUUCCGGGUGUGAACAAUGCUCGGGACUGACGGUACCUGAGGAGGAAGCUCCGGCUAACUACGUGCCAGCAGCUGC